GACGAACGCUGGCGGCGUGCCUAAUACAUGCAAGUCGAGCGGGCCUCCGGAGGUGCUUGCACCUCCGGAAGGCCAGCGGCGGACGGGUGAGUAACACGUGGGCAACCUGCCUUUGAGGCCGGGAUAACACCGGGAAACCGGUGCUAAUACCGGAUGCGUCCCCUUUCGCGCCUGCGAGAGGGGAGAAAGACGGUCUUUAAGGCCGUCGCUCAAAGAGGGGCCCGCGGCGCAUUAGCUGGUUGGUGGGGUAAGGGCCUACCAAGGCGACGAUGCGUUGCCGACCUGAGAGGGUGAUCGGCCACACUGGGACUGAGACACGGCCCAGACUCCUGCGGGAGGCAGCAGUAGGGAAUCAUCCGCAAUGGGCGAAAGCCUGACGGUGCAACGCCGCGUGAGUGAGGAAGGUUUUCGGAUCGUAAAGCUCUGUUGUGAGGGAAGAACAGCUUCCGGAGGAAAUGCCGGAGGUUUGCCGGUACCUCACCAGAAAGCCCCGGCUAACUACGUGCCAGCCGCCGUAAGAC
rnacentral:rRNA from 1 species